rnacentral:rRNA from 1 species
GACGAACGCUGGCGGCGUGCUUAACACAUGCAAGUCGAACGGAAAGGCCCUGCUUUUGUUGGGUGCUCGAGUGGCGAACGGGUGAGUAACACGUGAGUAACCUGCCCUUGACUUUGGGAUAACUUCAGGAAACUGGGGCUAAUACCGGAUAGGAUCUCCUGCUGCAUGGUGGGGGUUGGAAAGUUUCGGCGGUUGGGGCUGGACUCGCGGCUUAUCAGCUUGUUGGUGGGGUAGUGGCUUACCAAGGCUUUGACGGGUAGCCGGCCUGAGAGGGUUACCGGGCACAUUGGGACUGAGAUACGGCGCAGACUCCUACGGGAGGCAGCAGUGGGGAAUAUUGCACAAUGGGCGGAAGCCUGAUGCAGCAACGCCGCGUGCGGGAUGACGGCCUUCGGGUUGUAAACCGCUUUCGCCUGUGACGAAGCGUGAGUGACGGUAAUGGGUAAAGAAGCACCGGCUAACUACGUG